AAUCCAGCAGAUUCUUAUGUAAAGCUGAUCUUGCAAGGUUUGGCAAAAACCUAAACCAAGGGGAGCAAAAAAGGAAGGAGGUGUUCCCCACUGCUACCGAGGAAAUCACAGUGGCCAUUACUUGGCCUGGAAGAUGAAUUCCUGCUUAGACUGAAAGUGACCUAGCCAGGUACGCUGUGACAACCACCGGCGCCUUUGAGAAGAUAUUCAGGGCUGUCGAGAGUCCGAAUGGAACCACUUUGUGUUGGUAGUGUUGAGAAUCUACAAUGAAACGAAGAAAACGCUUUUGAGUAGGGUGGAUGGCAACGUGAAAGUAUGCAUCUUGCAAGUCGAGGGACGAAAACCAAUCAGCCUGUUUCAACGCCAGUAAUAUGGUAGCAAAUGUUAUCAUCUUGAAUUCUGUUUCUGAACAAAUUUAUUGAGGUCUCGAAGAUCUAGACUGGACCUCCAGUCCCUGACCUUUUUUAAGGCAAGAAGUAAUGGGAGUAGAACUCCUUGCCCCUAAGCUGCGUGAGGACUGGUUCAAUAGCCCCUAUGUGUAAGAGGUAUUCUACUUCUACUUCAUGAGAGUGGCCUCUGAAAAGGGACAGGGAAGAGGAGUUGAAGGGGAGUAUGGAUGCAAAGGGAAUAAUGUAGCCUUUUUCAAUUAUCUGCAGGAGCCAUCCAACAGAGGUUAUACGUUGCCAGUUGUUGAAGAAGGGCAACAAUCGAUGCUGGAAGAGAUUUGAUUGCAUUGAUGGCAUUGGAACAGGUGAGAGGCUCUCUAGACCCUCGACCUAAUUAACAAAUUUGCUUGUUGGACUGCUGCGACUAUUGGGAAUUGGUAGAGGAAGGGCGUCAUUGUUGGUUUCUGCCUCUGCCUUUGUUUUGUUGCUGCUGGUCUGUCUAUUGUAGUGUUGUGGCCUAUGGGGGUAUCGAGGUCUCGGGUAGGGCUGAUAUCCAUAUUGCCAGGGCUUGACAAACUGCGGCGAGAGCUACUCGCCAUCCCCGCACCGCACAUGCA